UUUCAGAUAAAAUUAUUUGUACUAUGACAAAUUUUAUUAGACUUUGUUCGCAAAUAAUAUACAAUUGUUUCAAGUUACACAUCUGUAGGGAUAUGAAUAUUUUUAGAUUACUCAAUCCGCCUCCAUAUGUAAGAUUCGUUUUCCAUAAUUGACUUUAAAAUGAACGCUCAAGUUAAUUAAAUAACUUGAGUAUUUUUUUUAUAUGUAGUUUAAAUUUUAUUCUGUUCUUUUUUCCCUUUAUUUCAUAUUGUAGGCAGUAGAGAAAGUACUAGACAGAGCAUUUGACCAAGAAACAAAAAGCGAAAAUUGAAUAUCCAACAUAUACUUGUAUAUUUGCAUAUAGUAACACCUUGUUUUGUACAUACGCAUACAUAAAUCAACGACAUAUGUACAUAGACCGGAAAUCUGAGUGAGAAGGCUGUUAUGCGUCCACUGCUCUCUCACUCUAAUUUAGAAAUAUGACUGCUGUCAAGAGUCGCUACAUGUCGUAGACAUUAAUCAUAGACUGCUUAAAGUACUAUUACAAUUUUUCUAUCCUGCAGCCAAUCAACACGCUUGAAAAAUUGUUGUGCGACAAUUGUAAUGCCUGUCAUUAUAUGCAGAUUAGAAACGUUCUCGAGUAUCUAAAAAUUUUCUAGUUUGUAGCUAAUCAAUGCGUUUAAAAAAUUUGUCGUGCGACAGAGUUUUCAAGUGUGUCAAUUGGCAGAAUAGAUCAUUUCUAGAGACUCAAGAACUUUUCUAUCUCAACCAAGAGCAUGUCUAACCAAUCGACAUGCUUGAAAAAUUUGUACGACAAAUGUAAUAUUAGCCUUAUGAGGAUGCCCCCACUCGUAAGCAGUCUAUGGUUAAUAUUUCUAUGCUAUAUACGUAUUUUUUUUUACGUGGUGGAAAUCCCUUCGGAAACCCGACUGACUCUUCGGAGGAAGAGCCGGGUUAUGUGGUACCAAAUUAACCGCUAAAACACUGCGAUGUGGGAGAUGCAGAGGUACGAUACUAAGCAUUCUUCUCCACGCUAUUGUGUACGUAUUAGAGUGAGAAAACAGUACACGCAAAUCAACUAUUUCUCUCUUCAACUCCUUCCACGGCAAAAGCAUAAGAAUGCUUGGUCUAUGUAUAUAUGUCGUUGAUAUAAAUCGUUUUAUAUAUGUAUAUAUGAAUUUUGCAUUGUGCGAAUACAUUGCAGUAAAUUAGAUUUUAUUCUACAAAUCGUAUAUUACAAAAAUAAAAUGGACACUUUCUCUCUGGUUCGCUCGCUCGUUCUUCCUUUCUCCAUGUAACUUCAGUUUCUUUAAAAUGUUUUCUCAAACAAUCACUUGAAGCUCUGUCCGGUCAUUUUCUUCUCCUUUCGUGAUUUACGCGAGUUCCACGCGUGAAUCGCAGACCGCGUGAGUACGAAUCAGGCCUUUGAAUAUUGAAACGAACGUAUCAUACACGCAACAUUUAAUAUUUGUUACCAAUGCGUAAUGUACAUUUAAAUUUAACAAAAAAAACCGUUAGUUUUAGUGUAGCAGUAAGACGAUUUUUUUUAUUCCGUUGGUGACGUUAUUCACACAUGUUUUACAUUUUUUUAAAUUAAUAUGUUACCCUAAACGACUGUCCUCGACAUAAUCUGUAGCCCAAAGUUCCUACAGGUACAUACAACAUAUAUAUAUGUAUAAAUAUAUAUAUAUAUUUUUCCCAA